UUUGGGAAGUCCUUGUGUUGCACCCUAUUUUUGAAAUUUUGACUAUUCCCAAAAUUUUUNUACGGCCCCGUUGCCGAAUUUUUGCGGUUGANUGCUUUGAAAUCCGGCCGGACAUAAAUUCAUACAAAGACUGAAAUAGUUUUGUGGGUUAAAUGGUGCAAAUUUCGACUCGUGCAACGGAUCAGGCUGUCCGAAUGGAAACGUUGGCGACGGAACCGAUAGGAGAAGUCGANAAUCGAGCAAAAUGUUUAAAGNGUUUUCGCUGUCAUCAAGGCACACGCACGCCCAUGUACAUCCAUGCUUUGCAUACUGAGUUAUCCGCUNAUGCUUACGGCAUAUCAUGGGAAGGUGCUUUUCUUUGGCGAUUUCGUGAAUGCUCGAGCUCCAAAACACAAACAAUUUUUGGAAAUGCACACU
rnacentral:misc_RNA from 1 species